rnacentral:lncRNA from 1 species
UAAAAUUAAUGAUGGAUGACAAAGUACAGCUGUAAGAAGCUUAGAGAACAAUAAUAAAGAUGUUUAAAACCCUAGACCAAUCUUCUGAAAACCAAAGAUAAAGAGAAAAUCUCGAAGGCCAUGAAUAAAAAAAAAUUGCAUAAAGAGAAGCAAAGAUAAAAAUUAUGAGCCACUUCCCCUUAAAUCUCUGCAAGCUGGGCCAGGCACAGUGGCUCACACCUGUAAUCCCAGCACUUUCGGAGGCCAAGGCUGGUGGAUCACAAGGUCAAGAGAUCGAGACCAUCCUGGUCAACAUGGUGAAACCCUGUCUCUACUAAAAAUACAAAAAAUUAGCUGAGUGUGGUGGCACGUGCCUGUAAUCCCAGCUAUUCAGGAGGCUGAGGCAGGAGAAUUGCCUGAACCCAGGAGGCGGAGGUUGCAGUGAGCUGAGAUCGCGCCAUUGCACUCCAGCCUGGGUAACAAGAGCAAAACUCUGUCUAAAAAAAAAAAAAAUCUCUGCAAGCUGGAAGACAAAAGUGACAUCUUUAAAGUGCUGAAAGAAACAAAUUGUACAAAAUUAUUGCAGGUAUCCUGAAAAUAUGAACAUCUAUUAUAUAUUAAUAAAAAAAUUUAAAAACACAACUGUCCAUACAGAAAUCUAUAUCCAGCAAAAAUAUCUUUCAAAAAUACAUUUUUCAGGCAAAAACUUGGUGAACUCAUUACAAGUAGACCUGUUCUAUGGAAAAAAAUGUUAAAGUUCUUCAGACAGAAUAUAAUACCAGAUUAAAGAAUCUUGGACCUACUUGAAGAAAUGAAGAGCACUGGAAAUGGCAUUAAUGAAGGGACAUAGAUGAAUCUGGAAACCAUCUUUCUCAGCAAACUGACACAAGAACAGAAGACCAAACACCACAUGUUCUUGCUCAUAGGGAAAUCUCAAGCAGUUUCAUCCAGCAAAUAUACAAGCCUUUUGUGCCUUGAACCCCAAUGCGUAAAGACAUUCACAAACAUCCUGGAAUUGGUGUGUUAUUUUAUAAGCUCCUCUCUCUUGAAAGUCACUGCGUAUGGAAAUAAGCAAGUACUUUAGCCUUGGAAAUUCUGUAAAGACAUCUUUUGGUUGAGAGCUGAUGUUGAAAUAGAUUUGGCCAUAAAUGCUGUUUUUCCAUCCAGAAUAAGUUUGAAAAUAUAUACAUGGUGGUAAAACAGAGUUGCCAGAUGAAUUUUGCUUAUUUUGCUAUUUGCUUAAAAUCCACCAGCAAAUUUACUCGUGAAGAAAAGCCCUGGUCAUGAUUCCUAUAUCGUCACAAU